rnacentral:rRNA from 1 species
AAAUUGAAGAGUUUGAUCAUGGCUCAGAUUGAACGCUGGCGGCAGGCCUAACACAUGCAAGUCGAACGGUAACAGGAAGCAGCUUGCUGCUUUGCUGACGAGUGGCGGACGGGUGAGUAAUGUCUGGGAAACUGCCUGAUGGAGGGGGAUAACUACUGGAAACGGUGGCUAAUACCGCAUAACGUCGCAGGACCAAAGAGG